GAUGAACGCUGGCGGCGUGCCUAAUACAUGCAAGUCGAGCGAACCACUUCGGUGGUGAGCGGCGAACGGGUGAGUAACACGUAGGUGAUCUGCCCAUCAGACGGGGACAACGAUUGGAAACGAUCGCUAAUACCGGAUAGGACGAAAGUUUAAAGGUGCUUCUAGCACCGCUGAUGGAUGAGCCUGCGGCGCAUUAGCUAGUUGGUAGGGUAAAGGCCUACCAAGGCGACGAUGCGUAGCCGACCUGAGAGGGUGAACGGCCACACUGGGACUGAGACACGGCCCAGACUCCUACGGGAGGCAGCAGUAGGGAAUCUUCGGCAAUGGGCGGAAGCCUGACUGAGCAACGCCGCGUGAAUGAUGAAGGCCUUCGGGUUGUAAAAUUCUGUUAUAAGGGAAGAACGACUUUAGUAGGAAAUGGCUAGAGUGUGACGGUACCUUAUGAGAAAGCCACGGCUAACUACGUGCCAGUCGCCGCAGUAA
rnacentral:rRNA from 1 species